rnacentral:piRNA from 1 species
AAACUUACAAUGAUGGCACAAGGGGAAGC